UGGCGGACGGGUGAGUAACGCGUAAAGAACUUGCCCUUUAGACUGGGAUAACAGAGGGAAACUUCUGAUAAUACUGGAUAAGUUAGUAUAUCGCAUGAUAUGCAAAUGAAAGCUACGGCACUAAAGGAGAGCUUUGCGUCCUAUUAGCUAGUUGGUAAGGUAAGAGCUUACCAAGGCUAUGAUAGGUAGCCGGCCUGAGAGGGUGGACGGCCACAAGGGGACUGAGAUACGGCCCUUACUCCUACGGGAGGCAGCAGGG
rnacentral:rRNA from 1 species